UACGUAGGUGGCACGCGUUGUCCGGAUUUACUGGGCGUAAAGAGCGCGCAGGCGGUCGUUCAAGUCGAGUGUGAAAUCCCCCGGCUCAACUGGGGAACUGCACAGGAGACUGCUUGGCUUGAGUUCGGGAGAGGGAAGCGGAAUUCCGGGUGUAGCGGUGAAAUGCGUAGAUAUCCGGAGGAACACCGGUGGCGAAGGCGGCUUCCUGGACCGACACUGACGCUGAGGCGCGAAAGCCAGGGGAGCAAACGGG
rnacentral:rRNA from 1 species